UAAGAUUUUUUGCAGGAAAACUCCUCUCUAAAUGGGAAGGUCCUUACGUUAUCGAGGAGGUCUAUCAUUCCGGUGCCACAAAAAUCAACAACUUCAAAGGCACAGAUCCGAGGGUGGUGAACGGUCAAAGAAUCAAACAUUAUAUCUCAGGUGAUCCUAUAAAUGUUGAAACUAAUGUUAUUGAAACCGUAACCCCGGAGGAGUAUAUAAGGGAGACCUUCGAGAACGUUUCAACCUCGAAAAAGAAGAGGUAUGUGGUACGGAGAUGUCUAAUGAUGAUGGGAUCCCGGAGUGCGGGUACUUCUAUGAUGACCGGGGUUUGUGCGAUAGGUUUCCUCAGCUACAAAAUGAUAGGUUUUUCACCGUGAAGCUGGAAGUGACCUUUGAUGUUUGUACGUACAUCCCGUGCCAAGCUAGACCAUAUGUAUUGGAGAAGAUUGAUUUUGGUUUAGAUGACUUUGAGAAUGUGGAGACGAGGAGGGCUCACUUAAGAACUAAACAUGGUUAUGAGUUUUUGGUUAAGCUGUACAAUGCGGUCGAUCACUCCCAUUUCGGUUGCUCUAAUUGGGAAGCUCUCUGCAAGGCAUAUGGAUUUGAGGAGGUAAUGCGAUUCGCCUCGAAGAUUAUGAUGAUGAUGAUAAUAUCGACAUCUCGGUGGAUGUGGAUAUGCCUCCAGUUUUGCCUAGAUCUUAUUUCUUAUCUUCAAGAAAUACUCGGAAGGUAAUAGACAACACAUACUACAGCUUUUGACUCCAAGCUUAAUUGUGAGGAGAAAGGUUAUCUUGUCGCAUUCAUAGAAGAUGCUGAGACCUUCAAAACCAGUCACUCUAUCAGCCCAAAUUAUACUAGAUACGUGCCACUAAUCCAUAAAUUUCUUGAGGGUAACUUCAUUGCCAAAAACUUGAGGCUCCCGAAGCAGGUUGUGCCUGGCAUUCUAUUUAC